CGGAGGAUGCUAGCGUUAUCCGGAUUUAUUGGGUUUAAAGGGUGCGUAGGCGGCUUUUUAAGUCAGCGGUGAAAUUUUGCAGCUUAACUGUAACAGUGCCGUUGAUACUGGGGAGCUAGGAUUUGGUUGCUGUGGGUGGAAUGUGUGGUGUAGCGGUGAAAUGCUUAGAGAUCACACAGAAUAUCGAUUGCGAAGGCAGCUCACAAAGCCAAGAUUGACGCUGAGGCACUAAAGUGUGGGGAUCAAACAGGAUUA
rnacentral:rRNA from 1 species